GACGAACGCUGGCGGCGUGCUUAACACAUGCAAGUCGAACGGAAAGGCCCUGCUUUUGUGGGGUGCUCGAGUGGCGAACGGGUGAGUAACACGUGAGUAACCUGCCCUUGACUUUGGGAUAACUUCAGGAAACUGGGGCUACUACCGUAUAGGAGCUCCUGCUGCAUGGUGGGGGUUGGAAAGUUUCGGCGGUUGGGGAUGGACUCGCGGCUUAUCAGCUUGUUGGUGGGGUAGUGGCUUACCAAGGCUUUGACGGGUAGCCGGCCUGAGAGGGUGACCGGCCACAUUGGGACUGAGAUACGGCCCAGACGCCUACGGGAGGCAGCAGUGGGGAAUAUUGCACAAUGGGCGGAAGCCGGAUGCAGCAACGCCGCGUGCGGGAUGACGGCCUUCGGGUUGUAAACCGCUUUCGCCUGUGACGAAGCGUGAGUGACGGUAAUGGGUAAAGAAGCACCGGCUAACUACGUG
rnacentral:rRNA from 1 species